ACCUGGGUGGCUCAGUCAGUUGAGCAUCUGACUUCAGCUCAGGUCAUGAUCCCACGGUUGGUGGGUUUGAGUCCCGCAUCAGGCU
rnacentral:tRNA from 1 species